GCGGAAGUGGCGGAAUUGGUAGACGCACCAGAUUUAGGUUCUGGCGCUGUAAGGUGUGAGAGUUCAAGUCUCUCCUUCCGCACCA
rnacentral:tRNA from 1 species